rnacentral:rRNA from 1 species
AGAGUUUGAUCCUGGCUCAGGAUGAACGCUGGCGGUGUGUCUAAGGCAUGCAAGUCGAACGUACCCUUUUAGGGUAAGUGGCAAACGGGAGAGUAACACAUUGGUAAUCUACCCCUAACUCGGGAAUAACCUUUCGAAAGAAAGACUAAUACCCGAUGGUCUCAUUCCUCUUAUGUGGAAUGGGUAAAACUCCGGUGGUUAGGGAGGAGCCUAUGCACUAUCAGCUUGUUGGUGAGAUAACAGCUCACCAAGGCUAUGACGGUUAGCGGGUGUGAGAGCAUGACCCGUCUCAAUGGGACUGAGACACGGCCCAUACUCCUACGGGAGGCUGCAGUCAAGAAUAUUCCCCAAUGGACGAAAGUCUGAGGGAGCGACGUCGCGUGAAGGAAGAAGCCCUUCGGGGUGUAAACUUCUUUUAUUAGGGACGAACAAAUGACGGUACCUAAUGAAUAAGGGGCUGCUAACCUCGUGCCAGCAGCAGCGGUAAUACGAGGGCCCCAAGCGUUAUCCGGAUUGAUUGGGCGUAAAGCGUCCGCAGGCGGCCUAUUAAGUUAAUUGUUAAAUUUCAGGGCUUAACUCUGAAGCUGCAGUUAAUACUGGUAGGCUAGAGGCAGGGAGAGGCAUGUAGAAUUGCUGGUGUAGUAGUCAAAUGCGUUAAUAUCAGCAGGAAUACCAAGGCGAAGGCAUCAUGCUGGAACUGUCCUGACGCUCAGGGACGAAAGCGUGGGUAGCGAAUGGGAUUAGAUACCCCAGUAGUCCACGCCGUAAACUAUGGAUACUAGACAUUGGAAGUGUCGACCCUUUCAGUGUCGUUUAAACAAGCUAACGCGUUAAGUAUCCCGCCUGGGAAGUACGGCCGCAAGGCUAAAACUCAAAGGAAUUGACGGGAACCCGCACAAGCGGUGGAGCACGUGGUUUAAUUCGAUGAUAAGCGAGGAACCUAACCAAGACUUGACAUCUAGCUGCACGCUCUGAGAAAUCAGAGCUCCUACGAGGGUGCUAGACAGAUGCUGCAUGGUUGUCGUCAGCUCGUGGCGUGAGCUGUACGGUUAAGUCCGGUAACGAGCGCAACCCUCAUGCUGUGUUAUACUUACUCAGCAAACUGCCUUGCAUAACAAGGAGGAAGGUGAGGAUGACGUCAAAUCUGCAUGGCUCUUACGUCUUGGGCCACACACAUGCUACAAUGGCCAGUACAACGGGUUGCUAAGCCGUAAGGUGGAGCUAAUCCCUUAAAACUGGUCCCAGUUCGGAUUGAGGUCUGCAAUUCGACCUCAUGAAGUUGGAAUCGCUAGUAAACGCGAAUCAGCCAUGUCGCGUUGAAUACGUUCUCGGGUUUUGUACACACCGCCCGUCAAGCCAAGAGAGUUGGGGGUACCCGAACUUCGUUUUAGAACGAAGGAAGGUAAAACCAAUGAUAGGGGUUAAGUCGUAACAAGGCA